rnacentral:rRNA from 1 species
UACGUAGGGGGCAAGCGUUGUCCGGAAUCAUUGGGCGUAAAGCGCGUGUAGGCGGCUUGGUAAGUCUGCUCUGAAAGCCCGGGGCUCAACCCUGGGAUGCCGGUGGAUACUGUCGGGCUCGAGUCCGGAAGAGGCGAGUGGAAUUCCUGGUGUAGCGGUGAAAUGCGCAGAUAUCAGGAGGAACACCAAUGGCGAAGGCAGCUCGCUGGGACGUGACUGACGCUGAGACGCGAAAGCGUGGGGAGCAAACAGG